CGACGACGAAAAAGUCCUCCUCAAAAUCAAAGACCAUUUCCACAAUACAAGCCUCUUCUCAACCUGGACUCCAAAAACAGAUUGUUGCAAAUGGCGCAUAGUCUUAUGCAAGAAAAUCCCAAAAACAACAAUCUACCGUGUCAACUUCCUCGAGAUCGACGGUGCUGAUGACCUCGUCGGUACGAUCCCCCCACUCAUUGCUGACCUACCAUACCUGGAGACCCUCAUAUUCCGCAACCUCCCUAACCUCACCGGUCCUAUCCCUCAAGCCAUUGCGAAACUUCCUCACCUUAACUUUGUCCUCCUUAACUGGAACAGCC
rnacentral:lncRNA from 1 species